rnacentral:rRNA from 1 species
AUUGAACGCUGGCGGCAGGCCUAACACAUGCAAGUCGAGCGAGCGGCGGACGGGUGAGUAAUGUAUGGGGACUGCCCGUUAGAGGGGGAUAACUACUGGAAACGGUAGCUAAUACCGCAUACUAUCGGAUAACCCAUAUGGGAUUAGCUAGUAGGUGGGGUAAUGGCUCACCUAGGCGACGAUCCCUAGCUGGUCUGAGAGGAUGGUCAGCCACACUGAGACUGGGAUACGGCCCCGACACCAACGGAGGCAGCAGGGGAGAAUAUUGCACAGUGGGCGCAAGACAGAUGCAACCAUGCCGCGUGUAGGAAGAAGGGCCUAGGGUUGUGAAGUACUUUCAGUCGUGAGGCGUUACCGACAGAAGAAGCACCGGCAAACUCCGUGCCAGCAGCCGCGGUAAUAC